rnacentral:lncRNA from 1 species
GGUGGAAUUGCAAUUGGCCAGCCAAAGGGACCUAGCACUACUUUGUCUAAGAAUUUAUCAUGGAGAGGACCAGCAAAAGAGGUUGUGAAGAAACUACAUGCAUUAUCAUGAGGAGCACUUUGAAUAUCCUAGCCAAUUGAGGGUUACAUCUGCCUGUAAAUUACCCAUGCUUUCUCUCCGCACACAGUCUGCCCACAUCAUCUGUGAAUAAAUAACCAUAAAAAAUAAAUGGAGAGGAAAGACGACA